rnacentral:siRNA from 1 species
CAAUUAAGACCAGGAGCGUAU